GUGGUUUGACACAAGUCGUUCCAUACCGGAUCUUUUUUUUUUCAGAAUGUCUGAACGCAGUGCAACGCACAGCUUCAGUUUAACCAAACAGCGAUCCGAUCCCGCUUCAUGACCUCACGAACGUGCAUACGUACGUACUAGGCUCCAGCUUCAUGAGGAGCGUCCACAAUGUUUGCCCAUCUUGCGUAGAGUGGUAUAUGUAACGGUUAGAGAAAGGUUUAGCAGUAUUUAACAACUUGAUUAUAUUUCGAUGUAUUAUGAUAAUGGAUAUAUAUUUGUCUCUGAAAAUUGGCUGUGGGAUCGUCUGCAACGAGUUUUGAGAUGAAACGCGAAACGGUGCGCUCUCUGCUAUGAAGACUUCGCUUUCCAUCGUUAUAUCGAAUCUUCUGGCAGGCUAAUCUGGUGAAAACUGUCUUCAGUUAGAUAAGCAAACAUCAACCAGAAAAAAAAUAACCUUAGCUCUGUGUUGGAACAACUUAAAAGCUUAUUCAAGAAAAAGCAACUCGCACUACACAGAAGUUCUGGAUUUAUGACCUCCAGCUUAGUUGGUUCUUGAUGCCUGAUUAACAUUAUACAGUGCAUGUUGAUGUCCGAUUGAGACGGGUCUCUGUUCUUCGUGGUCUCCCUGUCUAUAUGUUUGAGGGUCACUCUUCAGAAGAUAUGCUAUGAAAAUUAAGUCAAAAUGUGGGACAGCAAGGCCACCGACCACAUCAAGCCAUGGGAGACCACCCUAAACAUGCCCCUGGGGAUCUGGCGGUAGCGGGCACCAUGCAAAUUGAAGUUCUUAUUAUAUUUUGAUAUUCAAAUGUUUAGAUAAUUUGUAUGUAAUGUAACUGACAAUAAAUGUUUUCUUGUACUUUU